rnacentral:lncRNA from 1 species
AAAUAUCACAGAAAAUAGCAAAUAUUUCUACUGUUUAAUGUCUGAUGUGUUGGUUAGAAAUUAAACUUAGAGAUGGGUUGCUAAAAAGACCCACUCUGAAAUAAAAGACUGGAAGCAAUUUUCUAUUUGGAUUGUAAAUAAGGAAUAACCUCUCACACUGUAGUAGUAAUUGUGACUUCUAUAUGUGCUGAACAGACAUUAGAAGAAGUGAGAGAAAAUACUCAACUCCAUUGUUGUAAAACAGACAAGUAGAAGCAGAGCCUCCACACAAUUUCUGGAGCAGUCUAUCUUUCCUGGAGGUGUGCAGUGUCAGGAUGACCUGUUAAUUGUUUGGUAGGCAUUGUCAUGGGUUUUUUUUCCACUGCAGACAUGAACAAAAUACCAAAAUACUGACACUGGUUUUAGAGGAUGGCAGUGGAGGUAGCCAUGGCAACAGAGAGCUCUGUGUGCUCCCUCCAAGUGUACUCUGAAAUGCCAGAUGAGAGAGAGAGAGAUCAAGCAUUUUCUUAAUGGAUGGUGGAGUCAGCAGGAAAGGGAGCUUGCCUUGGCCAAUGUGCUAAAGGAGGAGCGUGCACAACAACCCUCACCCUUACUGUAGGACAUCCAGCCUUGCAGGAUAGGACAGAAAAGCACCCUGUGCUGCAGCAACUCGCAUUAUCUGUUUCUCAUCAGCUGCAUGGAUUUCAAAAACACCAGUAAAAUAUUCUAAAACUUUGCACUUCCAGUUGGAAACGCCUGAUGAAAGAGCAGGCUUUGCAUGGUUCUUCCAACAUCUUUGUAUGUGAAGCUGAGGUCGGUUUAUCAAAUAAACUGAUGAAAAGUAAUGAUGUGGUUCA